CGAGGUGGAGCAAAUCCCAAAAAUAACGUCUCAGUUCGGAUUGUAGUCUGCAACUCGACUACAUGAAGCUGGAAUCGCUAGUAAUCGCGAAUCAGAAUGUCGCGGUGAAUACGUUCCCGGGUCUUGUACACACCGCCCGUCACACCAUGGGGGGUCAGCAACGCCCGAAGCCGGUGACCCAACCGAAAGGAGGGAGCCGUCGAAGGUGGGGCCGAUAACUGGGGUGAAGUCGUAACAAGGUAGC
rnacentral:rRNA from 1 species